rnacentral:rRNA from 1 species
AUUGAACGCUGGCGGCGUGCUUAACACAUGCAAGUCGAACGAUGAAGCCGGAGCUUGCUCCGGUGGAUUAGUGGCGAACGGGUGAGUAACACGUGAGCAAUCUGCCCUUGACUCUGGGAUAACUGCGGGAAACUGUAGCUAAUACCGGAUACGACACCUUGGGGCAUCCCAGGGUGUGGAAAGAAUUUCGGUCAAGGAUGAGCUCGCGGCCUAUCAGCUAGUUGGUGAGGUAAUGGCUCACCAAGGCGACGACGGGUAGCCGGCCUGAGAGGGUGACCGGCAACACUGGAACUGAGACACGGUCCAGACUCCUACGGGAGGCAGCAGUGGGGAAUAUUGCACAAUGGGCGAAAGCCUGAUGCAGCAACGCCGCGUGAGGGAUGAAGGCCUUCGGGUUGUAAACCUCUUUUAGCAGGGAAGAAGCGAAAGUGACGGUACCUGCAGAAAAAGCACCGGCUAACUACGUGCCAGCAGCCGCCGUAA